rnacentral:rRNA from 1 species
GUGCUUACACAUGCAGUCGAACGGUGAAGCGGAGCUUGCUCCGCCGAUCAGUGGCGAACGGGUGAGUAACACGUGAGUAACCUGCCCUCGACUCCGGGAUAAGCGUUGGAAACGACGUCUAAUACCGGAUACGACCCCCGUGGGCAUCCACUGGGGGUGGAAAGAACUUCGGUCGAGGAUGGACUCGCGGCCUAUCAGCUUGUUGGCGGGGUAACGGCCCACCAAGGCGACGACGGGUAGCCGGCCUGAGAGGGUGACCGGCCACACUGGGACUGAGACACGGCCCAGACUCCUACGGGAGGCAGCAGUGGGGAAUAUUGCACAAUGGGCGCAAGCCUGAUGCAGCAACGCCGCGUGAGGGACGACGGCCUUCGGGUUGUAAACCUCUUUUUGGCAGGGAAGAAGCGAAAGUGACGGUACCUGCAGAAAAAGCACCGGCUAACUACGUGCCAGCAGCCGCGGUAAUACGUAGGGUGCAAGCGUUGUCCGGAAUUAUUGGGCGUAAAGAGCUCGUAG